GUGGUUCACCAUGCAGUCUUUGGGUUUAACAGAUCCUUUAGCCUCUAAAACUUGUCUCUAUAGAGAUUACAGGUAUGAUAAUAUAAGUUGGAAUAUAAUAUAUUACAGACAAUAACAUAUCAUGUAUUUACAAAAUGAAGCUUGAUUUUAUUAUUGAUAUCAGGCUUGCAACCAAGUAACCAAAAAUGAUAUGGAAAAUGAUAUUAGCAUUACUACAUAAAGAUGUUUGAGCUUCUGCAUUCUCCAUUCAGCCUGUCAAUCCUCCGUAUUCUCUCAAUUUGCAUCUGCACACCUGUCUACCUAACCUCUCCUGACCUAUAUGACCUCUCCUGACCUAUAUGACCUCUCCAGACGUAUAUAAACUCUCCUGACCUAUAUCACCUGAACUACCUGACAAACUGUCCUGAUUUAUAUAACCUGUCCUGAUUUAUAUAACCUGUCCUGACCUAUAUAACCUGUCCUGAUUUAUAUAACCUGUCCUGAUUUAUAUAACCUGUCCUGACCUAAAUAACCUGUCCUGAUUUAUAUAAACUGUCCUGAUUUAUAUAACCUGUCCUGACCUAAAUAACCUGUCCUGAUUUAUAUAACCUGUCCUGACCUAUAUAACCUGUCCUGGUUUAAAUAACCUGUCCUGACCUAAAUAACCUGUCCUGAUCUAUAUAACCUCUCCUGAUCUAUAUAACCUGUCUUGAUUUAUAUAACCUGUCCUGAUCUAUUCAUUUCAUUGGAUGCAAUAAUAGUAUAGACAUACAAAGUCUACAGUGCUGAAGAUGAUGACAUCAUCUAAAUAGAGCUAUGUGAAGAAUGUUCUGCAUUAUAUUUACAGAAAAUGCCUAUGAUAUUUGUGCAGUAAUAGUGAAAAUAUAGCAUUUAGAAACAAUGUUUUGGGUCCAUACAAAAUUACAUUUUGAUCUGAUUAGACUCUUGUUGUCAAGUUGGAAAGCGGGCAAUUCGUCUGUCACUUCCUGGUGGAUUUCUACUACAAAGUUUAGUCAAUUUCUGUUCAUGUGAGAAAACAAGCAAUAUAUAGGGCAGGGAACCAUUGUGCCAUAAAAAAUAUAGUUUUUACAGCUUUUUAAAGCAGGUGGACAGAAGUGAAUGUAAAACACUGAAGUGUCAGGUGACAACGUUAUUCCAAACGGCAACUGAUGUUGCCGCAAGUCACCAAGCUUGGACAUGGGGAAUCAUUUCUACACACAGCUCGUUUCAGACGCCAACAGUCAGCUUAGGCAGGAGUCCUGAUGUGGAUGGCUGGAGAGGCAUCGGGCAGACAUCCACUAGUCCGGAGGAGGACAGGCCCAUGACGGGGGCAGGUGGGUCACAUGGGGUAGAACUGUGAGGCCGCCUCCGAUGACUGGAUCUCCACCUGGGCCAUCUUGAACUGGGUGCACUGCAGCCACUUGCGCAGGGCGAAGGGCAGGGCACCGGCUGCCUGACCCUGUACACACUGGUGGUUCUGGUGGUUGACCCGGUUCUGGAUGGCCUGCAGACGCAGCUGGAGCCCCGCAGAAAGGUGCUGCAUGGGACAGUGGUGGGACACGGGAGACAGGUUAUGGGACAGUGGUGGGACAUGGAAGACAGGUUAUGGGACAGUGGUGGGACAUGGAAGACAGGUUAUGGGACAUGGGAGACAGGUUAUGGGACAGUGGUGGGACAUGGAAGACAGGUUAUGGGACAGUGGUGGGACAUGGAAGACAGGUUAUGUAACUUCAUUGUGUAGGGUUAUUCAGAAUUUGAAACAAUCAGUCUUCUUACCUUUAAAUUUGACUGAAUCAUGGGCAACCACAUGGGAAUUAGCUGAUGGAGAGAGGAGAUUAAUUAUUUCGUAACUAGCAAACACAAAUAGUCAAAUUGUUUUGCGUAAAUUCAUGGCAAAUGACAUACAUGUUUGGGGAAAUGCCCACGUACCUUCACGAAGAUGGUUGAGUUGCAUUCUUGUAGUGCCUCCAUCAGGCUGAUAACAUGAAGACAAACCAUCUCCACCAUC
ensembl:lncRNA